rnacentral:rRNA from 1 species
UACGUAGGGGGCAAGCGUUAUCCGGAAUUACUGGGUGUAAAGGGAGCGUAGACGGUAAUGUAAGUCUGGAGUGAAAGGCGGGGGCCCAACCCCCGGACUGCUCUGGAAACUAUGUUACUGGAGUGCAGGAGAGGUAAGCGGAAUGCGUGGUGUAGCGGUGAAAUGCAUAGAUAUCACGCAGAACCCCGAUUGCGAAGGCAGCAUACCGGUGCACAACUGACGCUCAGGCACGAAAGCGUGGGUAUCGAACAGG